AGAGUUUGAUCCUGGCUCAGGACGAACGCUGGCGGCGUGCCUAAUACAUGCAAGUCGAACGCUUCUUUUUCCACCGGAGCUUGCUCCACCGGAAAAAGAGGAGUGGCGAACGGGUGAGUAACACGUGGGUAACCUGCCCAUCAGAAGGGGAUAACACUUGGAAACAGGUGCUAAUACCGUAUAACAAUCGAAACCGCAUGGUUUUGAUUUGAAAGGCGCUUUCGGGUGUCGCUGAUGGAUGGACCCGCGGUGCAUUAGCUAGUUGGUGAGGUAACGGCUCACCAAGGCGACGAUGCAUAGCCGACCUGAGAGGGUGAUCGGCCACAUUGGGACUGAGACACGGCCCAAACUCCUACGGGAGGCAGCAGUAGGGAAUCUUCGGCAAUGGACGAAAGUCUGACCGAGCAACGCCGCGUGAGUGAAGAAGGUUUUCGGAUCGUAAAACUCUGUUGUUAGAGAAGAACAAGGAUGAGAGUAACUGUUCAUCCCUUGACGGUAUCUAACCAGAAAGCCACGGCUAACUACGUGCCAGCAGCCGCGGUAAUACGUAGGUGGCAAGCGUUGUCCGGAUUUAUUGGGCGUAAAGCGAGCGCAGGCGGUUUCUUAAGUCUGAUGUGAAAGCCCCCGGCUCAACCGGGGAGGGUCAUUGGAAACUGGGAGACUUGAGUGCAGAAGAGGAGAGUGGAAUUCCAUGUGUAGCGGUGAAAUGCGUAGAUAUAUGGAGGAACACCAGUGGCGAAGGCGGCUCUCUGGUCUGUAACUGACGCUGAGGCUCGAAAGCGUGGGGAGCAAACAGGAUUAGAUACCCUGGUAGUCCACGCCGUAAACGAUGAGUGCUAAGUGUUGGAGGGUUUCCGCCCUUCAGUGCUGCAGCUAACGCAUUAAGCACUCCGCCUGGGGAGUACGACCGCAAGGUUGAAACUCAAAGGAAUUGACGGGGGCCCGCACAAGCGGUGGAGCAUGUGGUUUAAUUCGAAGCAACGCGAAGAACCUUACCAGGUCUUGACAUCCUUUGACCACUCUAGAGAUAGAGCUUCCCCUUCGGGGGCAAAGUGACAGGUGGUGCAUGGUUGUCGUCAGCUCGUGUCGUGAGAUGUUGGGUUAAGUCCCGCAACGAGCGCAACCCUUAUUGUUAGUUGCCAUCAUUUAGUUGGGCACUCUAGCAAGACUGCCGGUGACAAACCGGAGGAAGGUGGGGAUGACGUCAAAUCAUCAUGCCCCUUAUGACCUGGGCUACACACGUGCUACAAUGGGAAGUACAACGAGUCGCAAAGUCGCGAGGCUAAGCUAAUCUCUUAAAGCUUCUCUCAGUUCGGAUUGUAGGCUGCAACUCGCCUACAUGAAGCCGGAAUCGCUAGUAAUCGCGGAUCAGCACGCCGCGGUGAAUACGUUCCCGGGCCUUGCACUCACCGCCCGUCA
rnacentral:rRNA from 1 species